CCUACGGGAGGCAGCAGUGAGGAAUAUUGGUCAAUGGGCGCGAGCCUGAACCAGCCAAGUCGCGUGAGGGAUGACUGCACAGCGUAUUGUAAACUUCUUUUAUCAGGGAAUAAAGUCGGGCACGAGUGCCUUUUUGUGGGUACUUUAUGAAUAAGCAUCGGCUAACUCCGUGCCAGCAGCCGCGGUAAUACGGAGGAUCCGAGCGUUAUCCGGAUUUAUUGGGUUAAAGGGAGCGUAGGUGGGUUGUUAAGUCAGUUGUGAAAGUUUGCGGCUCAACCGUAAAAUUGCAAUUGAUACUGGCAGCCUUGAGUACAGUAGAGGUAGGCGGAAUUCGUGGUGUAGCGGUGAAAUGCUUAGAUAUCACGAAGAACUCCGAUUGCGAAGGCAGCCUACUAAACUGUCACUGACACUGAUGCUCGAAAGUGUGGGUAUCAAACAGGAUUAGAUACCCGAGUAGUC
rnacentral:rRNA from 1 species